GCAGGGGUUCCUUUAGAAAAGGCAGUGAUAUUGAACAUGCCCAAGGUCGAAGACUCCUGGAGCUGUGGACUUGCCUUCCUGGCAGUGCUGCAGGUGAAGGCGACGGUGGAGAUGCAGAAAUGAACAACUGGGAGCUUUGGAUGGACUGGCUGCAAUAGUGAGCAAAGAACAGCAGUGAAGAUAUUUUACCCAAUAUCUCUCUCUAGUGCACUGAGUACCUUGCAGACUUGACCAGGAAUGCUUUGAGCAGAGGGAACUCCGGAUAUGGAGAUGGAAAUACCUGUUGUGAAUACUAGUUAUGACACUUACUAGUCCAUGACCUUGGGCAAGCUACCUAACAGCAGUUGGUAUUAGUUAUCCUACCUGUAAUGAGGCAAGAGGUCUGCCUUCCUUGUUUAUGUAGUUGUUGUGAGAAUUAAAUGAAAUAAUGUUUCAGUGCCUAUGGCACAU